rnacentral:rRNA from 1 species
GUCGAGAAUAAUUCACAAUGGACGAAAGUCUGAUGGUGCAACGCCGCGUGGAGGAUGAAGGUCUUCGGAUUGUAAACUCCUGUCAUCGGGGAGUAAGACCUGGCGGUAAAUAGCCGACAGGGUUGAUAGUACCCGAAGAGGAAGGGACGGCUAACUUCGUGCCAGCAGCCGCGGUAAUACGAAGGUCCCAAGCGUUGUUCGGAAUCACUGGGCGUAAAGGGAGCGUAGGCGGCGUGGUAAGUCAGGUGUGAAAUCCCGGGGCUCAACCCCGGAACUGCACCCGAUACUGCCAUGCUUGAGGGUUGGAGAGGUAGCUGGAAUUCUCGGUGUAGCAGUGAAAUGCGUGGAUAUCGAGAGGAACACUCGUGGCGAAGGCGAGCUACUGGACAACAUCUGACGCUGAGGCUCGAAGGCCAGGGGAGCAAAAGGGAUUAGAAACCCGAGUAGUCC